GUGCCUAACACAUGCAAGUCGAACGAGAAAGUGGAGCAAUCCAUGAGUAAAGUGGCGACCGGGUGAGUAACACGUGACCAAUCUACCUUCGAGUGGGGGAUAACUCCGGGAAACCGGGGCUAAUACCGCAUAACAUCUUUGGAUCGGAAGAACUGAAGAUCAAAGGAGCAAUUCGCUUGAAGAGGAGGUCGCGGCUGAUUAGCUAGUUGGCGGGGUAAUGGCCCACCAAGGCGAAGAUCGGUAGCCGGCCUGAGAGGGCGCACGGCCACACUGGAACUGAAACACGGUCCAG
rnacentral:rRNA from 1 species